GUUGAACGCUGGCGGCAUGCCUUACACAUGCAAGUCGAACGGCAGCACGGGGGCAACCCUGGUGGCGAGUGGCGAACGGGUGAGUAACACAUCGGAACGUGUCCUGUUGUGGGGGAUAACCAGUCGAAAGACUGGCUAAUACCGCAUGAGCUGGAGACAGGAAAGCGGGGGACCUGAAAGGGCCUCGUGCGAUUGGAGCGGCCGAUGUCCGAUUAGCUAGUUGGUGGGGAAAGGCCCACCAAGGCGACGAUCGGUAGCUGGUCUGAGAGGAUGAUCAGCCACACUGGGACUGAGACACGGCCCAGACUCCUACGGGAGCAGCAGUGGGGAAUUUGGACAAUGGGGGCAACCCUGAUCCAGCCAUGCCGCGUGAGUGAAGAAGGCCUGGUGUAA
rnacentral:rRNA from 1 species